ACCAUAACCGAUCAUCAAAAAAAAUAAUCAAAUUAUCAGUUAUUUUGAUUAAUCUAAUUUUCUACUCACCCUCGUUUAUUUAGACAAGGGUAUAGUUGUCCAUUGUCCAACCAGUCCAGUCACGUACACUACACCCGCCCACACCUAACCACCUAUCAUCUUUUCCCGCCAAAAUACCUGCAACGGCGAUCAUUUCUAAACAGAGAGAGGAUACAUCGAACGUCAGAGAUGUCAGGCUGGGACGAAGGUGCAGUAUACUACCACAGCGAUAAACCUCACGACGCCGGCCUUGAUCCGGAACAGGCGGCGAGUAGCCACACCGGAAGUUUAAAGAGUUCAUCCGAAACUUUGCUCGUCGUCAGAAUGAGACCAACGUACAGAGAAAGCCUCAUUCAAAACCCUAAGUUCCUCCUUGUUAAUCUCGUAUGAUAAAGAUGAGGAGGAUCUUCGAGAUUUGCUUCUUCCGAUCACCUCCCUAUGGCACAAUAUAUAUCCAAACUGGUUAAGUCGUUAAGAUAUCCGGAAUUACAAUCGCUGCAUCUCGGACAAAGGCUAAAGCAACUUAUGUGACUUUGUUGUGUAAGAAUUGUAAAAACGUGAAGGUGGUUCCUUGCCGCCCAGGGCUGGGCGGAGCAAUCGUUCCAAGAUCAUGUGAUCAUGUAGCAAUGCUAAUGGGUGAAACACCAUGCCCCAUUGAGAUCCAUGGAUUGUGGUCCUGGAUGGAAGCAAGUAUGUUGAUCAGCAGACAUUAAAGCUUCAGGAGAACCCUGAGUCACAAAGGAGCAGUUGCAGUUAGACAGCCAUAUAUAAGAGUUGUGGGAAUACAAGGAACAAAUGAAACUACUCAUGGCCUUGCUAGUUUUACGACAGAAGAUGUUGAAGAGUUUAAAAAAUUCGCAUCAGAAGGGAAC